rnacentral:lncRNA from 1 species
GACAGCUUGGAAAAAUCAGCGCUUUUUCGAGAUUGGAUCCGCGCAGAAAGAAGGAACUUUGUGCUAGCUGAAUCACAACCAGAAAUAGAUGAGUGCUAUGAAGAAAUGCUAGCAGAACUUGCUCAGGAAACAUCUUCACCCGGAAGUGGUUAUGAACAAGCUUCAUUUCCACCACCGCCAACACAACCACCUCCAAACCUUGAAGGUUUUAUGAGAUUUGCUAAAAAUAAUGCAUAAAUUAUGAUGUAACUUGUACAUUGGCAUGUCUUCUUUUAGUUUUUUUUUCCUUUUAAUGGUG